GGCAGUUUCACCUCAAAGAGGAAGUUGGGUGUGGCGGGCAGUUUGUUGACAUAUCCACCAUAGGAGUGCCCCUGGGAGCCCUCUCUCAUCUCUGACAGAUAACUGUGGGGUUUACUUCUCUCACCAGACAUUCCCAGCAAAGCACAGCUGAGGCGCCAUUGGCUUUGUGAGUUUGGAUUCCCCAUCAUCCAUUCCUCACAAGCUUCUUUCUGGGCCUACCGUGAGUCUUCAGCCUGUACCUGUCUGGAGUUCACUUGAGGGUGGAGUCUCUCUUCUCUCUCGUCAUAGUGUAUCGAAAAGAACUUGACCUAAGAAGCAAAUUUUGAGUCACCGAGGAGAAGCAGCCACAGAAGAGGGAAGAGCUCGGUCCACUUCCACAUUAUCACAUCAUCUCUGUGAGGAAGCCAUCUUGCAAGAUGAGACCUCUGCAUCAUUGCCAGGGGAGGGAUCAGGCAGGCAGCUGAGUGUGCAGGGAGGAUCCCAUCCCUACCCCUCUAAACUGCAGUGCUUAGCGGCUAACUCAGAAGCGUGUUUCCUUUCUGGGUCAUGGUGCGUGCCCCAUUGACCCAGCACAAAUAGGAAUGCCGAGUCACUCCUGCUCUCUCUGGCAAAAAGUCCCUCUCUCUGAUUGAAAGUGAAUCCAGGAAGCAGAGCUGAUAUAAUCAAUAGCCCUGGGCCCUUGACUUACUGAGUGGAAUAGAGGCGAAUCCUCAAAGGAGCAUUGCCAUUCAGAAACUGUUUUUCUCAGUAACGACUUAGGUAGUUAAGAGUCAAUGACAUGGAGCUCUCCCCACUACAACUGCUCAAAUUAAAACCUAUGUUACACCAGGAGGAAGAAUGGGAGAAUGAACGAGUCCUGGAGGAAGAGGAAAAAUUCACCUUUACACAAACCAAAUUUGCCUAUAUGAUAACAAACACUGUUUCCCGUUGGAAAAAUGUCAACCUCUGCCUUAAAGUAAACUAUGGGGAUCCCAGGAGAUAUAUUUUAGGAUUCACUUAAAAGCUUUACAGAUCUGUCCCCUCCAUUCAGUGGAAGUCCUAUUCCCAGAAAGAAUGCAGAGAAUUUCAUGGCUACAAAGAAUCUCAAAGCAGGGCUGUUGUGAGUCAGUGUUAACACUAGUAACUGCUCCUGUAUGCCAGGCAUUUUGUAAUCCCUUUACAUGCAUUAAUCUGUUUCCUGCUCAACCAAGUCUAUGAAACAGGUGUUGCCACUGUCUCCAUUUCACAGGGGAGGAAACUGAGGCCACAGAUUCUCUAAGAACUGAUAGGUAAGGAACGAGAGUUGGGAUUCACACCCAGGCGGUCAGGCUUGCAGACACACACUGCAGGCUCACCCUGGCGGGGUGAGCUUGGUCUGCAUUCUCGGAGCAAAUGGUUUACUAAAACAGCACUUAGAUCUGUUUAUGUGUUUGGCACCCCUCUAUUGGAUGAUUAUGUAUUGCCACUGGAACUUGUUAGGUUUGUUUCUAAAACUGACAAGUUUAGUUUAAAACAUGAUUCGUCUUUUUUCUGCUCCAUUUCUCCACAGGCUGCAGUUGUUUGCCUAGUACCCUUUCGAGAACACAAGCGAAGUAGAGCUGUGUUUGUAAAGAUGCAUGACUCCUCAUUCAAAAGCUUUGUUUUUUCUUUAAUUAAAAAUAUUAAUUAUUGUAUUUAUUUGUGUCUACCUCUCUCUCUCUUUGUCUCUCUCUCUCUCUCUCUCUCUCUCUCUCU
ensembl:lncRNA LOC120100890 uncharacterized LOC120100890